rnacentral:lncRNA from 1 species
CUAGGGCAACCUGGACCUGAUAUUGAGGAAGUGGAGACAAGAAGAGGAAGAGGAGAAGAUAAGGGGAGGAGAAAAAGAAGAUCCUCACCUACCCUGUCUGAUUCCCCUUGCUCAAGCCUCAAGGGUGAGUUCCCCCACCCUAGAUGAUCCUCCCAGGUGUUGUACAUGGUGAAUCCUAGGUUCCUAGGGCUGGGAGCAGCAAGGUCAUUUGGGAAAUAGGGCAAUAAUUUGUCUAUAUUGUUGUUUCUAAGUAUUAACACAUGGAAAUCAUCAAUUUCGAGUCCCUGCAUGGCAAAAUCAGUAUGUGGAAUGUUUUGUAGGUAUUGUUCCCACGAUCGUUUUGAGUGGUUAAACAUAUCAUUUAUCAAUCGAAAUUGUGAAGCUCAUGUUAUGCCUGUUCUUUUGUAACUGGCAGAAAUUUCAGAGGCAACGAAAAAUAGAGUUUUCCCGUGGGCUUUAGGAGCUUUUAGCAUUCAAUUAAAUUCAUGUUUUGUUCCCUGCUAUGUUGUGUGUGAUGCAUAGUUGUUAGUAUGAAAGGUUUCAAUUAAUUCUCAUGGGUAUUCUUUGUGCUAUAAAUUUCCAAAGGCGGCUACUCGUUAUUUCUAAAUCUGAAAACAACAGUGAAGUACUUGCUGGUUUUGACCUUCAUAAGUUCAUAUUCUGAAUUUGAAUAGUUGGAGUUAUUUGUAGAUAAGUUCCUUAUGAAUCCAUAGCCAUCUUGUUUGCUUGUUUUUGAGCUUCCUAGCUCAAGAUGUGAUUUUUUGGGCGAAAGGGCAGCAAAGGGUUGCUACCCCGAAAAUGCGAUAGGCGCGCUUUUUGGUAUGUUUUUCAUAUCAUGUUAUGGCGCAAUCUUUAAAACUGAUAUUUAUGUUUCUACAACAGGUUGCAAGCACCAAUCAACCUCUGGUAGCCUCGCAACGGUUGAGGCGAGUACAUCGGGCAACAAUGGUUAGAUUACUCUCUUAAUACUAUGUUCAUGUUCACAUUUGUUUUUUACAUUCAUGCAAUGGUGAACAUACAAUUCCCUAGAGUAUAAUUUAAUACACCAUACCACUAGUAUGUGGUAGGGAUUUGUUCUUGAUAAAAAAAUCCAUCAUGAGUGGAUCUUCCCAAUUAAAGGACUGAUUCUCGCUUUGCAAGCGUAUGGUCCUUCGGGUCCAUCCUCAUGUUAUUGUCCUCUUGGUGAGGGUUGAAAAGGAGUUUGGCUGAGACGUCAUCCCUCCUCAGCUUGCGCCCGCGGUAGCUCAAAGCCAAGUCCUCGGUCUUAUUUGGUUGCAUUAUAUUCUUCAUGCAUUCUCACGCCAUUCAAAGCAUGGGAGGUUUGAGUAUAACAUUCACCCGUUCAAGCAUGGUUCAUCUUCAUGAUCUUACUAUCUAUUCUAUAACAUGCUUUGUUGUGUACUUGCUGAGUCUUUGGACUCACCUCUCGUGAGCUUUGUUUUAGGUAUAUCACUGUGAGCAAGUAGUUGGAAGGGCGUAGCUCCCAUGGGUGUUCACUCCCAAAUUUCACACCCCUUUUAUUCACCUAGCUUGAUCAUGAUAACCCUCAUACUUUAGUUCAUUGUUCUUGAUAGCUAGGAUCUACUUGUUGUGUAUAAACUUGCUUCGGUUUGUUCCCACCACUAUGUUUACUUUACAAGGUGGGUUGAAGUUUGCUAGUCCCCACCUAGUACCCGUGUGUGCUUGGAACGUAUCGUUUCUUGUUCCGGUGUAGCAUAACCGUUUGUGGCUUCACCACUUUGCUCUAUAUGGGUUAUAUGAGCUAGUUGAAUGCUUCUGCUUGUGGUAUCAUUUUUUUUGAAACAAGAUGUGGUAUCAUUUAUAUAUACUCUGUUUGUUCAAUUGCCUAUCGUGGAUGUCCGACGGUACAAGAGAGAUG